rnacentral:lncRNA from 1 species
UCGGGUAGGGAGGGAGGGUAAAACAGAGACUUGGGAAGGGAAGUCGGACGUAAUAGGGUAAUCCUCGAUUUGGAAAGGGAAUAGAAAAGCAGAGAAUUUUGGGAUUAGGCCGGUAUUGUAAUCACGCGUAAUACCUAUUACAGCGAACCAAACGCCGGAAUAAAGUCAGUAAUGUAAUAGGCGCGUAAUCGGGGCGUAAUGG